AUUAGAUACCCUGGUAGUCCGCACGGUAAACGAUGGAUGCCCGCCGUUGGUUAUUUUUAUUCAGUGGCCAAGCGAAAGCGUUAAGCAUCCCACCUGGGGAGUACGCCGGCAACGGUGAAACUCAAAGGAAUUGACGGGGGCCCGCACAAGCGGAGGAACAUGUGGUUUAAUUCGAUGAUACGCGAGGAACCUUACCCGGGCUUAAAUUGCAUUUGAAUAUAUUGGAAACAGUAUAGCCGUAAGGCAAAUGUGAAGGUGCUGCAUGGUUGUCGUCAGCUCGUGCCGUGAGGUGUCGGCUUAAGUGCCAUAACGAGCGCAACCCUUAUCUUUAGUUACUAACAGGUCAUGCUGAGGACUCUGGAGAGACUGCCGUCGUAAGAUGUGAGGAAGGUGGGGAUGACGUCAAAUCAGCACGGCCCUCACGUCCGGGGCUACACACGUGUUACAAUGGGAGGUACAGAAGGCCGCUACCUGGCGACAGGAUGCCAAUCCCCAAAACCUCUCUCAGUUCGGAUCGAAGUCUGCAACCCGACUUCGUGAAGCUGGAUUCGCUAGUAAUCGCGCAUCAGCCAUGGCGCGGUGAAUACGUUCCCGGGCCUUGUACACACCGCCCGUCAAGCCAUGAAAGCCGGGGGGUACCUGAAGUACGUAACCGCAAGGAUCGUCCUAGGGUAAAACUGGUAAUUGGGGCUAAGUCGUAACAAGGUACC
rnacentral:rRNA from 1 species